UACGGAGGGGGCUAGCGUUGUUCGGAAUUACUGGGCGUAAAGAGCUCGUAGGUGGUUUGUCGCGUUGUUCGUGAAAACUCACAGCUCAACUGUGGGCGUGCGGGCGAUACGGGCAGACUGGAGUACUGCAGGGGAGACUGGAAUUCCUGGUGUAGCGGUGGAAUGCGCAGAUAUCAGGAGGAACACCCGUGGCGAAGGCGGCUCUCUGGGACGGUACUGACACUGAGACGCGAAAGCGUGGGGAGCGAACAGG
rnacentral:rRNA from 1 species